UGGGGAAUAUUGCACAAUGGGGGAAACCCUGAUGAAGCGACGCCGCGUGAAGGAAGAAGUAUUUCGGUAUGUAAACUUCUAUCAGCAGGGAAGAAAAUGACGGUACCUGACUAAGAAGCCCCGGCUAACUACGUGCC
rnacentral:rRNA from 1 species